CCUACGGGUGGCGGCAGUGAGGAAUAUUGGUCAAUGGGCGCGAGCCUGAACCAGCCAAGUCGCGUGAGGGAAGACGGUCCUAUGGAUUGUAAACCUCUUUUGUCGGGGAGCAAAAGACGCCACGCGUGGCGUUCCGAGAGUACCCGAAGAAAAAGCAUCGGCUAACCCCGUGCCAUCAGCCGCGGUAAUACGGAGGAUGCGAGGGUUAUCCGGUUUUAUUGUGUUUAAAGGGUGCGCAGGCGGAAGGUCAAGUUAGCGGUAAAAUUGAGAGGCUCAACCGCGUCGAGCCGUUGAAACUGGUUGUCGUGAGUGAGGGAGAGGUAUGCGGAAUGCGUGGUGUAGCGGUGAAAUGCGUAGAUAUCACGCAGAACUCCGAUUGCGAAGGCAGCAUACCGGCGCUCAACUGACGCUCAUGCACGAAAGUGUGGGUAGCGAACAGGAUUAGAUACCCGAGUAGUC
rnacentral:rRNA from 1 species